GACAUUGAGAGAGAAAGGCUUUAGUAGUGCCAGUUCCGCUCGCUUUUGCAAGACGACAACUACGGAAAUAUCCGUCUCAAUAACACUACGAUUGCUCUAUACCGAGCAAAGAGAUGCUGAAAAUCGUAGACAUUUGUUAACUUGUAGCAAAGUGUGCAUCGAUAUAACGAUAUCGAUUUAAGACGUGUGGCAGUUCAAUAGAAGAAUGGAGUUAAAAAAAAAAAAAAAAAAAAAUUAGAAGACUACAAAAAUGUCUUCCCAAAACAAUCGUAAUAGUGAAGUGAAGAAAUAAAAUAGAAAACGGGGAUUGCAUCAUUAGACAGAACGUAAAAACAACACGAAUCUAAUUUUCUGGAAAGGAAAUAAAAAAUAUCAAGUAUAACGUAAAAAAAAAUGAUAAUCUAAUUUAUUACGAGACACGAGUGUUUUGCGAUCCUUAUUCGGAGAUUCUUGUUCGGCGUGCUCUUGACAUCAUCGAGAUUGCAACGCAACCGUCGGAAUGACUCAUUCUCACUUGACCGUGCUGACAGAGACUUCAUCACUAUCUCAGGGUGUGUCUCUCUCAUCCCUCUGAGAUAAGCAACCCUCUUUCUAGUUCUUAAUGUGUAUUUAAACGCGGCACUUGACACUUUAAUGCGAGCGAUGAUGUUACUAAAUUUAGGUAAAACGCACAGAAUAUACGUAAGAAGAAAUUGCACGAGGAGGCAAACGUAACGCUCUUAUCAUAUUUAUAUUGCGUUAUUAAUACUGAGCUGAACGUUGACCCUUGGGGGGAAAAAAAAAAAACAAUUUGAAAAACAUUAAUUAACAGAGAAAUAUUAUCGAACGAUUAUACCGAUGGUAAAAAAUAAUUACAUAUGUAAAAAAAAUCAUGGAGAGGUAAAUUUAUGUAAUCUGUCUAAAGUGAAUUAAUAGAAGAGAGUGCUCCAUUAAAAGAGUAAUUAUUUCAGAGUGAUCGUUAAAGAGUAAGAAAAAGAGAGCGAGUGAUAAAACAAGUAAAUAACAACAAACGUCAACCGAGUCUCUUUUCUAAUCGAUCGAAGUACACGACACCUAUCGUUGUGACAUAUUUUUGAGGUCGUGCAUUGGAGUAUAUACGAUGCGAAGAUAUCUUCUUAUAUAUUGGACGUUCCAAGGAAAA